rfam:Triticum aestivum genome assembly, contig: Triticum_aestivum_CS42_TGACv1_scaffold_130223_2BL
CAUGUACUCCCUCCGUUCAAAAUUACUUGACUUUCAUUUGUUCAAAAAUAGAUGUACCUAUAUACUAAAACAUGUCUAGAUACAUCUAUAUUUUAAUAAAUGGAAGUCGUGUAUUGUGGAAUGGAGGGAGUACUAU